rnacentral:lncRNA from 1 species
ACCCACUUUCUUAUAACAAAAAUAAAUUUUACCCACUCAAAUUAAAACUUAAAAUUUUACCCACUUUUUGUGUUAAAAGACUAAAUUGCCCUUCUAUAUAAAUGGGCAAACCUCUCAUUUUUUUUUCUCUCUCUUCUCUCUCUCUGCACGCUCUCUUCUCUCUCUCUCUCUUCUCGAUCUGAGCUUGUUGAGGCCGAGGACUGCGGCGGCGAUCGGCUUCCUCCGCUGCUCCAGGCUGUCCUCCUCCCCGAUCAGCGUCGGCGGACGGCGGAGCACGUAGAUCUCGCAGCGUGCCGAGGACUGCGGCGGCGAUCGGCUUCCUCCGCUGGUCCAGGCUGUCCUCCUCCCCAAUCAGCGUUAGCGGACGGAUGAGCACUUAGAUCUCACAGCGUACCGAGGACUGCGGCGGCGAUCGGCUUCCUCCGCUGCACUCUCUCUCUCUCCCUCUCCCUUCCUUUCUCUCUUCCGGCAGCCGUGGCAGGAGGUGAGGGCGGCGGCCGAGGAUGGAAGACGGCGGCGAGUCCAUGGACUGCGAUUUAGCCGCUUCCUCCUGCUUCUGCCAUCGCCUCUGCAUUUUUCGCGUCACUGGAGCGGUGCUCGUGCGUCAACGUCGACGCUGACGGUAAAGACGACGACGAUGAGGUUAACGACAAAUCUGGAGGAGUUUUGUCAAUUGCUAGAAAAUAUUGGAGAUUGGUCGUGGCGAUGUGGUUUCCUGAUUUAGUUUCCUGAUUUGGUUUUUGAUUUAGUUUGCUGAUUUGGGGAAAUCGUGCCCUAAUUUGAGAUGAACUUGGGGCUUUUUUAAAUUUUUCUUAUUUUGGGGAUUUUUUAUGUUUACAAGCGAUGUAUUUCGUUUCAAGAAAGGAAAUGUAAUAAAUUUUCUGUAUAAGUUUUGUUUUGAUUGAAUACUAAGUAUAUUGGAUCACAGAUUGAAGAAAUUGAUGAAAAUCGCUCAAUUUUGUGCAUAUGUUCUUGAAUUCACAACCAAGUUUAUGAAUUCAC